ACUCCUACGGGAGGCAGCAGUGGGGAAUAUUGCACAAUGGGCGCAAGCCUGAUGCAGCCAUGCCGCGUGUAUGAAGAAGGCCUUCGGGUUGUAAAGUACUUUCAGCAGUGAGGAAGGUGGAGUCGUUAAUAGCGGCCUCAUUUGACGUUAGCUGCAGAAGAAGCACCGGCUAACUCCGUGCCAGCAGCCGCGGUAAUACGGAGGGUGCGAGCGUUAAUCGGAAUUACUGGGCGUAAAGCGCAUGCAGGCGGCCUGUUAAGUCAGAUGUGAAAGCCCGGGGCUUAACCUCGGAAUUGCAUUUGAAACUGGCAGGCUAGAGUCUUGUAGAGGGGGGUAGAAUUUCAGGUGUAGCGGUGAAAUGCGUAGAGAUCUGAAGGAAUACCAGUGGCGAAGGCGGCCCCCUGGACAAAGACUGACGCUCAGAUGCGAAAGCGUGGGGAGCAAACAGGAUUAGAUACCCUGGUAGGAUAG
rnacentral:rRNA from 1 species